GUUUCUCUCUGACCACCGGUGCAUGCAGCCCCUGUCACGUACCCCUUGCUUGACUGAAUCAAUCACGACCCUUUCAUGUAAAAUCUUUAGUGUUGUGAGCCCUUAAAUGGGACAGAAACUGUGCACUCAGGGAGCUUGGAUUUUAAGGCAGUAGCUUGCCGAUGCUACCAGCUGAAUAAAGCCCUUCCUUCUACAACUCGAUGUCUGAGAAGUUUUGUCUGCAGCUCGUCCUGCUACAUUUCUUGGUUCCCUGACCGGGAAGUGAGGUAAUUGACGGACUGCCGAGGCAGCACCUUAGGCGGCUUAGACGUGCCCUGUGGAGCAUCUCUGCGGGGGACUCCAGCCAGCCUGAGUGACGCGAUCCAAACAGCGCUCCUGGGUAGGAAAAUGCCCCAGUGGGAUGCCUCACCAGAGCAGCGCUUGGCAGGCCCCCGCGGAGGAUAAACACAGUGGCUGAACACCAGGAAGGAACUGGCACUUGGAGUCCAGACAUCUGAAACUUGGAAUCCUUCUUGGCACUGGGAAUACAGAGGUGAUGGGCAGGAAAAUUCCCUGAUUUUAUAGAGCUUAAAUUCUUGUAGGAGAGACAGACAAUAACAAAAGAAGACUGACUGAGAUGUGUUGGCGGGCUUCUCAAGAUCCCUAUCGAUGGCAGAAUGCUGACAUGAGUUGCCCAUAGUCCAGGUUUCCCAAUGUAGCAGAUGACUCUAGCGGCUCCAGCUUCAGCAUCAUCUUAAGUUCAAGUGAAAAGGAAAAGAGAAUCUCUUUUUCUUCAAACAAUUUCAAACUAAAAUCUUGAGUCUGACUUUUCCUGGCCAGAAUUAAGCUUGUACUUAUCCCUGAAAAAUCAUCAAUGCUACAGUGAUGAAUUUACCAAUUGAGGCAGAAUUUAGGUCACAUGACGCUCCAAAGCCUCUUCAAAACCGCAUGACUCAGAGUGAGGCAGAAGUAUUUGGGAUAUUUGCAACAGGAGAAGGGUAAAUGAAUGGAGAGUGCCAAAACAACUUAUGUCAAUUAUACAAUUAUAAAUACAACCAAAAUAAAGUAUGGAAAUCAGUAUUUUCACCUAUCUUAACAGAGUGAAAGAUUUAUUCUGUUGAAUAUUUGCCAUAUUUCACUUUCCACAUUCAGCACUCUGCAAUAUUUAAAGAAGAAAAUAAGUCUCCAUAUACUGAAUAAAGACAUAUCAAAAUUUGUGUGACAUCAUAUUCCUUAGUUACAUUUUUUGUUCAUUCAUUUGUGUGUUUGUUUAUGUCACCCACACUAGAUCAUGGUGGUGUGAACAUGGUUCACUACAGCCUCAACAUCCUGGGCCCAAGCAAUCCUCCCACCUCAGCCUCCUGUGUAGCUAAGACCACAGGUGGGCACCACCAUGCCCAGCUACCUUUUAAUUUUUUGUAGAUAUGGGGGUCUCACUUUGUUGCCCAGGCUGGUCUCGAACUCCUGGGCUCAAGCUAUCCCCACAACACUUUGGUUUGGCCUCCCAAAGUGUCGGGAUUACAGGUGCGAGCCAGUGCACUCAGCCUUACAUUUUUUAAUAAAUGAAUUUAAACAAAGAAUAGAAACAUAUUUUUAAACACACCAAUUAACAAACCAAAGUGUAUUGCAAAUUAUUGGAAGGGACAGCAGAGUGAAAAAAUGUUAUCCCACCUGCAGGAGGUGGAAAAGGUGAUAAUAUGAAACAAAUAUUUCCACCUAUCCUAAUAGAGUAAAAGAUUUAUUCUGCUGGAUAUUUUCUGUAUUUUACCUACCUUCCACAUUCAGCACUCUGCACUCUCUUGCCCAACUAUUCCUUUUAAUUUUCCCAUAAUACAACUUUUUAAUAUUUUAUGUAAUAUAUGUAUUUAUUUCUUUCUUUUACUAACUGUGUUUCCUACUGGAAUGUAAGCUUCAAAAAUUCAGAGAUCUUUGUCCUUGUUGCUGAUAUAGCCUACUGUCUAAAAAAAACUUCAGAUAUUUAAUUUUUUUAACUUUUAAGUUCAGGGGUACAAGUGCAAGUUUGUUACAUAGAUAAACAUGUGUCAUGGGGGUUUCUUGUGCAUAUCAUUUAAUCACUCAGGUAUUAAGCUUAGUACCCAUUAGUUAUUUUUUUCUGAUCUUCUCUCUCCUCCUAUCCUUCACUCUUCAAUAGGCCCCAGUGUGUGUUAUUCUCCUCUAUGGGUCCAUAUGUUCUCAUCAUUUAGCUCCCACUUAUAAGUGAGAGCAUGCAGUGUUUGGUUUUCUGUUUCUGUCAGUUUGCUAGGGAUAAUGGCCUCCAGCUCCAACCAUGUUCCUGCAAAGGACAUGAUCUCAUUUUUUUUAUGGCUGCAUGGUAGUCCAUGGUGUAUAUAUACCACAUUUUCUUUAUCCAGUCUAUCAUUGAUGGGCAUUUAUAUUGAUUUCAUGUCUUUGAGAUUGUAAAUAGUGCUGCAGUGAACAUAUGUGUGUAUGUGUCUUUAUAAUAUAAUGAUUUAUGUUCCUUUGGGUAUAUACCCAGCAAUGGGAUUGCUGGGUCAAAUGGUUUUUCUGUCUUUAGGUCUUUGAGGAAUUGCCACACUGUCUUCCACCAUCUUUAUUUCUGCCUUCGUUUCGUUAUGUACCAGUAGUCAUUCAGGAGCAGGUUAUUCAGUUUCCAUGUAGUUGAUCAGUUUUGAGUGAGUUUCUUAAUCCUGAGUUCUAGUUUGAUUGCACUGUGGU
rnacentral:lncRNA from 10 species